rnacentral:rRNA from 1 species
GACGAACGCUGGCGGCGUGCUUAACACAUGCAAGUCGAACGAGCGGCGAACGGGUGAGUAAUGAAUAGGAAUCUGCCUGGGAGUGGGGGAUAACGUCAGGAAACGGGCGAUAAUAACGCAAACUAUCAGCUGAGCCUAGGGCGGAUUAGCUAGUUGGAGGGGUAAAGGCCUACAAAGGCGACGAUCCGUAACUGGUCUGAGGGGAUGAUCAGUCACACUGGAACUGAGACACUGUCCAGCCUCCUACGGGAGGCAGCAGUGGUGAAUAUUGGACAAUGGGCGAAAGCCUGAUCCAGCCAUGCCGCGUGUGUGAAGAAGGUCUUCGGAUUGUAAAGCACUUUAAGUUGGGAGGCGUUACCUACAGAAUAAGCACCGGCUAACUUCGUGCCAGCAGCCGCGGUAAUAC